rnacentral:lncRNA from 1 species
GCUUAGUCUAACAUUUGCAUUUAUUUACCUUUCUCAUUUUGGUAUUUUGUCACGACCCCGGUUUGCCCUCCGUGAACCAUCGUGACGGCACCUAGUCUCUACGACUAGGUAAGCCUAAGAUGCGGAAGAUAAACCAAAUUUGCAGAAAGAAAACAAUUUAAAAUAAAAAUAGAGUAAUAAAACAACGUUUAAAAGUGCCGCUCGGCAUACACAAUAUUAACUCUUAAAACCAAUACACUUUCCCAAAACCCGGAAACCCAUGAAUCACAAGCUACGAAUAUAAUAAAAAUGCUCUAACUCCAGAAUGUCUACAUCAACAGAAGAAAAUAGAAAGGCUAUCACUACAAGAUAGAAUGGAAAGGGACUCCUCGGUCUGCGGACGCGACAGAUAUACCUCGAAGUCUCUGAAACAGUCGCCUCGCCUCAAGAAUGAUAGGAGUGAGUCAAUACCUGGAUCUGCACAUGAAAAACAUGCGCAGAAAGGGCAUGAGUACAACGGUACUCAGUAAGUGCGAAGCCUAACCUCGGUCGGGUAGUGACGAGGAAGAUCAGGGCCCUACUGAUGUUAAAUAAAAUAUAAGGCCUAACAGUGUAGAAUAAGACAGUAUAAUUAAGUGCAACAGUAAGAAAUAACAUAGAAUAAAAAGAACAACAACAACUAGAACAGAGACAAAUAAUCACAGAAAGGAAAUACAACUCAACACAGAGAUAACAAUGGGAGUACCUUCCAGGAUACUGUCCUGUAAUCCCAAUUACAUCUAUCCAGUGGAUCUCCAGGAAUGCCAUCCCAUAGUCCAUCAUAUAUAUCUGAAGGAUCUCCCGGGAUCCCGUCCCGUAGUCCAACUAUCAGUGCGCGGGGAUCUAUCGGAAUCCCGAUCCGUAGUCCCAAAUAUAAAUACCCAGUACUGGGGGAAUCUACCGGGUGCAGUCCCGUAGUUCCAUAUAACUGUGCAAGGGGAUUUACCGGAAUCCCACAUCCGUAGUCCCAAUUAAACAGACAAGGGGGAUCUACCGGAAUCCCACAUCCGUAGUCCCAAUAUAAAUACACAUCAGUAAUAGGAAAAUAUUCAGCAAAUGUCAAUUUCAUAUUAAGGCAAACAAGUAAUUCUAGUCUAGCAUGCUGCACAGAAUUCAGGUAAAGCAGUUUGAGCAAAUAAAGCAAUUAAAUCACUUAGACAUGCUUUCCUACGCUAACUACAGGCUUAAAGUGCAAGUAAUAUAAACAGGGAAGGAAACAUACUAGUAAUUACUUAAUGAAAACCGGAUUUUCAACAAUUAGCACAAGUACGCACUCGUCACCUCACGUACAAGGCAUUUCAAUUAACAAUAAUACCAAAUCCUAAGGGGAAGGUCCCCCACACAAAGGUUAGGCAAGCCACUUACCUCGAACUGGCUCAAAAUCAACUCGAAACCACGUUCUUACCACAUGUAUUUGACUCCAAAUGGACCAAAUCUAUUCAAUUCAAUUUCAUAAUGUAAAUAGCACUUCAAGUAACUGAUUCUACAAAGAAAUUCUAAGCUAAUACGCGAAAUUAAGUAAAAUGACCAAAACGCCCCUCGGGCCCACGUCUCGGAAUCAGGUAAAANNNNNNNNNNNNNNNNNNNNNNNNNUUUUUAUGUUUAUAAUGAUAAAAAUCACCUCAAUAACGAGUUUAGGUUCCAAGAAUCUUACCUCCUCGAAGUUUCCAUGAAUUCCCUCUCAAAAACCUCCCCAAAAGCUACUUCCCGGAUGAAAAUGGUGAAAGAAUAGCUCAAAUUCGUGAAGGCAACUAUUUAUAUGUUCUGCCCAGCAAAUCCCGCAUCUGCGAUCCACCCAUUGCAUUUGCGAUACCGCUUCUGCGGUUCUCACUUAAAGUUCCAUCUCCGCACCUGCGACCCAGAUGCCGCAUCUGCGGUCCCGUAGGUGCGGUAAUCCUAUUGCUUCUGCGUCCCUACUCAAAUUUCUCUUAGCCGCUCCUGCGGCUCAACUCCGCAUCUGCGGUAGUCGCAUCUGCAGCCUACCAACUGCAGAUUUGGUUAUGACAGCAGCCCAUAGACUUCAGCUGCAAUUUCCAACUUUCCAACUUCCCGUUAACCACCCGAAAUCAUCCCGAGGCCCCCGAGACCUCAACCAAAAGCACCAACAAGUCCAAUACCCCUGUCCAAACUUAUACCAAUCCUUAAAACACCUAAAACAACACCGAAACGACGAAUCAACCACGAAUUCAAGCCUAAGAACUCCAAAACUCUAAAAAUACGCUUUCGAUCAAAAAGUCUAUCAAACCUCGUCCGAAUGACCUGAAAUUUUGCACACACGUCACAUUCAACACUACGAAGCUACUCCAACUUCCGGAAUUCCAUUCCGACCCUCAGAUCAAAAUCUCACUAUCGAACCGGAAACUUCAAAAUUCGACCUUUUGGCAUUUCAAGCCUAAAUUAGCUACAGACCUCCAAAACACAAUUCGAACACGCCCCUAAGCCCGAAAUCACCCAACGGAGCUAACGGAACCAUCAGAAUUCUAUUCCGAGGUCGUCUUCACACUGUUCCGACUACGGUCAAAUUUCCAACACUUGGCUCUCAUUUAGGGACUAAGUACCCCAAAACUGUCCGAGACUCAAAACCGAACAUCCCGACAAAUCAAAAUAGCAGAAAUAUACACGGGGAAAGCAGUUAAUAGGGGAUCGAGGCGUUAAUUCUUAAGACGACCGGUCGGGUCGUCACAUAUUUAGACCUUCAUGAUUAGAAAGUUGGAUGUAAAAGUUCAUCUCUUGAACUUACACAUUUAUUGAAUAACCUUUUUUUUUCUUUUUCCAUAUUUGACCUGUCAUAUCUGUCAUCUUUUUUGAUUAACUUUUCAUUGCAGGUCUCUGCAUCAAAAACUUUGAUCACACCUAUCCAAUGCAAGUCGUUGUGGAAGCAAUUUAACACUGAGACUGAAUACAUUGUUACACAAGCCAUUGCUGCUCAGGCACGUUAUCUUACAUCUUGCACAUAACUUUGUGCUUUUUAGGACUUCAUUCCUUUUAUAUUUAAUUUUUACGAACGGACAGACAUAUAGUAAUAUUUUAUAUAUUAUUAAUUUUGCACCUUCUUAACUAAAGCUCACACGUUAAUUGCACUUUGCACUUAAAGUCCCAAUCAACCUUGGUUCUUCUUUUAUGAUUUUCACCUUUGACAACACUUUUCAGUACCUUUGAAUCAGACAAAUUUAAAGGUAUGAUUCACGUUAAUCUGUAGCUCUAUAAUUUGAUUCCAACGAUUCUCUGAGCCUUUUAAUUGUAUGUUAACAUAGCACUUUUUCUUAACAUCUGCCGUGACAUCUCUAUUUGAUAUAUCCAUCAGGACAAAAAAUUUCUCUUCAGGGUUGUAAUAUUUGUAGACUCCUUUGUUAGCUUCUGACCAUCAGGUUUUUUUUUAACUUUAGGAGGCUAGCAGGAGAAAUAACAAUUGGCUGCCACCUCCAUGGGCAGUUGUCGCGUUGCUUAUUCUGGGGUUCAAUGAAUUCAUGACACUGUUGAGGUACCAUUUCCUACUUAUGGAUCAUGAGUGGGUUUGGAUUGCGCGAGUCAAAACAGUUUUAAAAAGUAUGGCUGUAACCAACUCGUUUAAUAUUUGCUUGGGUAAACAUGAGUUGGGUCAAAUAUAUGUUCAAUAGCAGGUCAUAAUCCAACCUCCCCACUAAUGACCACCUCUCAAUUUCUUGUUAGAAUUGGGUCAACAUUUCUCUAUCCAUUUUGUUUCAUUCUCUUGGAGUAUUUUUGAUACUCUUAGUCAUGAUACCCCCUAGCCGAGGGUCUAUUGGAAACAACCUCUCUAUCUUCCGGGGUAGGGAUAAGGUUUGCGUAUACACUACCCUCUCCUGACCCCACGUGUGGGAUUUCACUGGGUUGUUAUUGUUGUUGUUAGUCAUGAUACCCCUUUUGACGAAUAGAGGCUUUUAUAUCCACUUGAUGAUAGCAUGUAUCCACCGUAAUCACAUAUGUCACAUUGGUUUUUUACUCUUUUCAGAAAUCCUUUGUAUUUGGGAGUCAUAUUUGUUGCCUUUCUACUAGUGAAAGCCCUCUGGGUGCAACUGGACAUCUCGGGCGAAUUCCGCAAUGGCGCUGUAAGUGUUGAAUAUGAUUUGUUAAAAUUUCAGUUUUGUUGCAUUAGAAGCAUUUGACCAAAUAACUGUAUGAACUCUUGGUCUUUGCUCAUUCAUAAGAUAUUGUUGUUAAACUUCCUCCAUUGUCCUAAAGUAUGACACUUCCUACCAUUUUCUUUUGCAACUCUCUAGAAUUCUGUUGAGCCGAGGGUCUAUUGGAAACAACCUCUCUGCCCAUAAGAUCUACAUACAUACUAUCCUCCCCAUACCUUACUUGUGGGAUUAUAUUGGGUUGUUGUUGUUCUUGUAAAAGUUCAUGCAAAGCUAAAAUCGCCAACACAAAUACGUUUUAACCUUUCAAUGGCGUUUCGAUUCAUCAUAAUCUUUGGAAUGUUUUAUGUGGGCUUUCAGGAGUUAUUUCCUAAUCUAGUCUGCUAAGAUGAAACACAUUUGUACCUUCCUUUCUUUUCUGUAACAUUUUUAGAGUUAACUGUUUAGACCUGGACAAAAGGGGUCUAUACAUGAAGCAAUACAAACGGAUGGGAUAUAAGUAUGAUUGCUGCACUUCAUUUCUUCCAUUACAAUGAUGAGAACUUUCAAAAUAACAAUCUAUCUGUUACCUGAUCUUGACACAUGUGUUGACAGCUUCCUGGACUUCUCUCUUUAUCCACAAAGUUCCUUCCUACAGUCACGAAUCUUCUUAGACGACUAGCUGAGGCAGGCCAAAGGAAGGUGAAUAAUGAACCUCAACAUAAUCCUACUCCUGCAUCAAAGAGCUUCCACGGUACAAUUGCUUCAUCUGAAGUGACUUCAGAAAAUAGAGGGGAAUAAUCUAAGCCCCUUAAUGCAUGACAAAAUGAAGUAAGCAGUGGUGGAUCCAACAAAAGGUUCGUUGGUUCGACUGAACCUAAGUGGGUUGAUUUUUAUAUAUAUGCACGAAAAGCAAAUAUCGAUAGAAUUAUGUAGAACUCACAACAUCUAAAUUCUGGAUCUACCACUGGAAGUAAGUCAUGUUUAUACCGCCAUUCUUCUUAUUUGUGGCAACAACUUUUUAUGUUUAUAGGAUGUUUUGUGGUGCACAUCUGCUUGAUGGCUUUCUCUUUCAAAAGAAAGCAUGUGAACAAUCAGAAAAAUGGAAAGAGUUGAUUUUUGUGUAGGACAUAUAUACUGAGAUAUGGUUUAUAGUUGUGGGGUAAACUAAGAGUAGCCUCCAUGUUUUUUUUUUCUUGUUUGCCACCAAUUUUAUCUUUCAAGAACCUAUAACUUAUUGAUGGAAGAUAUAUAAUGUAUUUAAUAGAUGGUAUUAUCUUUUUCUGGUUUUGUAAUUUAUAUGGAAGAGGAAGACUAUGUAACUUGUAUUUCAAUUUUGAGAUUCUUUUUCUUUUUU